rnacentral:piRNA from 1 species
UACAGUAUUCCAGAGUGUCCGCCUGAAGAU